rnacentral:tRNA from 1 species
AUUUUUAUAGUUUAUAUAAAACAUUACAUUUUCAAUGUAAAAAUAGAAUUAUUCUUUUAAAUA